rnacentral:rRNA from 1 species
GAGUCUGAUCAUGGCUCAGAUUGAACGCUGGCGGCAGGCCUAACACAUGCAAGUCGAACGGUAACAGGAAGCAGCUUGCUGCUUCGCUGACGAGUGGCGGACGGGUGAGUAAUGUCUGGGAAGCUGCCUGAUGGAGGGGGAUAACUACUGGAAACGGUAGCUAAUACCGCAUAAUGUCGCAAGACCAAAGAGGGGGACCUUCGGGCCUCUUGCCAUCGGAUGUGCCCAGAUGGGAUUAGCUUGUUGGUGGGGUAACGGCUCACCAAGGCGACGAUCCCUAGCUGGUCUGAGAGGAUGACCAGCCACACUGGAACUGAGACACGGUCCAGACUCCUACGGGAGGCAGCAGUGGGGAAUAUUGCACAAUGGGCGCAAGCCUGAUGCAGCCAUGCCGCGUGUAUGAAGAAGGCCUUCGGGUUGUAAAGUACUUUCAGCGGGGAGGAAGGGAGUAAAGUUAAUACCUUUGCUCAUUGACGUUACCCGCAGAAGAAGCACCGGCUAACUCCGUGCCAGCAGCCGCGGUAAUACGGAGGGUGCAAGCGUUAAUCGGAAUUACUGGGCGUAAAGCGCACGCAGGCGGUUUGUUAAGUCAGAUGUGAAAUCCCCGGGCUCAACCUGGGAACUGCAUCUGAUACUGGCAAGCUUGAGUCUCGUAGAGGGGGGUAGAAUUCCAGGUGUAGCGGUGAAAUGCGUAGAGAUCUGGAGGAAUACCGGUGGCGAAGGCGGCCCCCCGGACGAAGACUGACGCUCAGGUGCGAAAGCGUGGGGAGCAAACAGGAUUAGAUACCCUGGUAGUCCACGCCGUAAACGAUGUCGACUUGGAGGUUGUGCCCUUGAGGCGUGGCCUCCGGAGCUAACGCGUUAAGUCGACCGCCUGGGGAGUACGGCCGCAAGGUUAAAACUCAAAUGAAUUGACGGGGGCCCGCACAAGCGGUGGAGCAUGUGGUUUAAUUCGAUGCAACGCGAAGAACCUUACCUGGUCUUGACAUCCACGGAAGUUUUCAGAGAUGAGAAUGUGCCUUCGGGAACCGUGAGACAGGUGCUGCAUGGCUGUCGUCAGCUCGUGUUGUGAAAUGUUGGGUUAAGUCCCGCAACGAGCGCAACCCUUAUCCUUUGUUGCCAGCGGUCCGGCCGGGAACUCAAAGGAGACUGCCAGUGAUAAACUGGAGGAAGGUGGGGAUGACGUCAAGUCAUCAUGGCCCUUACGACCAGGGCUACACACGUGCUACAAUGGCGCAUACAAAGAGAAGCGACCUCGCGAGAGCAAGCGGACCUCAUAAAGUGCGUCGUAGUCCGGAUUGGAGUCUGCAACUCGACUCCAUGAAGUCGGAAUCGCUAGUAAUCGUGGAUCAGAAUGCCACGGUGAAUACGUUCCCGGGCCUUGUACACACCGCCCGUCACACCAUGGGAGUGGGUUGCAAAAGAAGUAGGUAGCUUAACCUUCGGGAGGGCGCUUACCACUUUGUGAUUCAUGACUGGGGUGAAGUCGAAACAAGGUA